UACGUAGGGGGCAAGCGUUUGUCCGGAUUAUUGGGCGUAAAGAGCUCGUAGGCGGCUUGUCGCGUCGACUGUGAAAACUCGGGGCUCAACUCCGAGCUUGCAGUCGAUACGGGCAGGCUAGAGUUCGGUAGGGGAGACUGGAAUUCCUGGUGUAGCGGUGAAAUGCGCAGAUAUCAGGAGGAACACCGGUGGCGAAGGCGGCUUACUGGUCCGGAUCUGACGCUGAGGCGCGAAAGCGUGGGGAGCAAACAGG
rnacentral:rRNA from 1 species